GCCCAGUUUAGCUCAGCUGGUAGAGCAGGAGACUCUUAAUCUCAGGGUCAUGGGUUUGAGCCCCACAUCGGGCA
rnacentral:tRNA from 1 species